GAAACCACAAAAGGUGUUAGU
rnacentral:misc_RNA from 1 species